GACGAACGCUGGCGGCGUGCUUAAAACAUGCAAGUCGAACGGACUUCUCAUGAAGCUUGCGAUUGAGAAGUUAGUGGCGGACGGGUGAGUAACGCGUGGGCAACCUGCCCCUGAGCCCGGGAUAACAGUUCGAAAGGACUGCUAAGACCGGAUAUACUUGCGGUGAAGCAUUUCACUGCAAGGAAAGGGAACGCUCAGGGAUGGGCCCGCGUCCCAUUAGCUAGUUGGUGAGGUAACGGCCCACCAAGGCGACGAUGGGUAGCCGGCCUGAGAGGGUGAACGGCCACACUGGGACUGAGACACGGCCCAGACUCCUACGGGAGGCAGCAGUUGGGAAUCUUCGGCAAUGGGCGCAAGCCUGACCGAGCAACGCCGCGUGAGUGAUGAAGGUUUUCGGAUUGUAAAGCUCUGUCUUCCGGGACGAUAAUGACGGUACCGGAGGAGGAAGCCACGGCUAACUACGUGCCAGCAGCCGCGGUAAGAGUCACGUCG
rnacentral:rRNA from 1 species